GACAGAGGAUGCAAGCGUUAUCCGGAAUUAUUGGGCGUAAAGCGUCCGUAGGUGGUUUAGUAAGUCUGCUGUUAAAGCGCGGGGCUUAACUCCGUAUCGGCAGUGGAAACUACUAGACUAGAGUGUGGUAGGGGUAGAGGGAAUUCCCAGUGUAGCGGUGAAAUGCGUAGAUAUUGGGAAGAACACCGGUGGCGAAGGCGCUCUACUGGACCAUAACUGACACUGAUGGACGAAAGCUAGGGGAGCGAAAGGG
rnacentral:rRNA from 1 species